CCUACGGGAGGCAGCAGUGGGGAAUAUUGGACAAUGGGCGAAAGCCUGAUCCAGCAAUGCCGCGUGAGUGAUGAAGGCCUUAGGGUUGUAAAGCUCUUUUACCAGGGAUGAUAAUGACAGUACCUGGAGAAUAAGCUCCGGCUAACUCCGUGCCAGCAGCCGCGGUAAUACGGAGGGAGCUAGCGUUGUUCGGAAUUACUGGGCGUAAAGCGUGCGUAGGCGGCGAUUCAAGUCAGAGGUGAAAGCCUGGAGCUCAACUCCAGAACUGCCUUUGAAACUAGAUUGCUAGAAUCUUGGAGAGGUCAGUGGAAUUCCGAGUGUAGAGGUGAAAUUCGUAGAUAUUCGGAAGAACACCAGUGGCGAAGGCGACUGACUGGACAAGUAUUGACGCUGAGGUACGAAAGCGUGGGGAGCAAACAGGAUUAGAUACCCUGGUAGUCCACGCUGUAAACGAUGAUAACUAGCUGUCCGGGCUCUCAGAGCUUGGGUGGCGCAGCUAACGCAUUAAGUUAUCCGCCUGGGGAGUACGGUCGCAAGAUUAAAACUCAAAGGAAUUGACGG
rnacentral:rRNA from 1 species